UACGUAGGAUGCAAGCGUUGUCCGGAAUUAUUGGGCGUAAAGAGCGCGCAGGCGGUCUAUCAAGUCAGAUGUGAAAUAUCCAGGCUUAACCUGGAGGGGUCAUUUGAAACUGGUAGACUAGAGUACAGCAGAGGAUAGUGGAAUUCCCGGUGUAGUGGUGAAAUGCGUAGAUAUCGGGAGGAACACCAGUGGCGAAGGCGACUAUCUGGGCUGAAACUGACGCUGAGGCGCGAAGGCUAGGGGAGCAAACAGG
rnacentral:rRNA from 1 species